GACGAGGCACUACGGUGCUGAAGCAACAAAUGCCCUGCUUCCAGGAAAAGCCUCUAAGCAUCAGGUAACAUCAAAUCGUACCCCAAACCGACACAGGUGGUCAGGUAGAGAAUACCAAGGCGCUUGAGAGAACUCGGGUGAAGGAACUAGGCAAAAUGGUGCCGUAACUUCGGGAGAAGGCACGCUGACACGUAGGUGAAGUGAUUUACUCAUGGAGCUGAAGUCAGUCGAAGAUACCAGCUGGCUGCAACUGUUUAUUAAAAACACAGCACUGUGCAAACACGAAAGUGGACGUAUACGGUGUGACGCCUGCCCGGUGCCGGAAGGUUAAUUGAUGGGGUCAGCGCAAGCGAAGCUCCUGAUCGAAGCCCCGGUAAACGGCGGCCGUAACUAUAACGGUCCUAAGGUAGCGAAAUUCCUUGUCGGGUAAGUUCCGACCUGCACGAAUGGCGUAAUGAUGGCCAGGCUGUCUCCACCCGAGACUCAGUGAAAUUGAACUCGCUGUGAAGAUGCAGUGUACCCGCGGCAAGACGGAAAGACCCCGUGAACCUUUACUAUAGCUUGACACUGAACAUUGAGCCUUGAUGUGUAGGAUAGGUGGGAGGCUUUGAAGUGUGGACGCCAGUCUGCAUGGAGCCGACCUUGAAAUACCACCCUUUAAUGUUUGAUGUUCUAACGUGGACCCGUGAUCCGGGUUGCGGACAGUGUCUGGUGGGUAGUUUGACUGGGGCGGUCUCCUCCUAAAGAGUAACGGAGGAGCACGAAGGUUGGCUAAUCCUGGUCGGACAUCAGGAGGUUAGUGCAAUGGCAUAAGCCAGCUUGACUGCGAGCGUGACGGCGCGAGCAGGUGCGAAAGCAGGUCAUAGUGAUCCGGUGGUUCUGAAUGGAAGGGCCAUCGCUCAACGGAUAAAAGGUACUCCGGGGAUAACAGGCUGAUACCGCCCAAGAGUUCAUAUCGACGGCGGUGUUUGGCACCUCGAUGUCGGCUCAUCACAUCCUGGGGCUGAAGUAGGUCCCAAGGGUAUGGCUGUUCGCCAUUUAAAGUGGUACGCGAGCUGGGUUUAGAACGUCGUGAGACAGUUCGGUCCCUAUCUGCCGUGGGCGCUGGAGAACUGAGGGGGGCUGCUCCUAGUACGAGAGGACCGGAGUGGACGCAUCACUGGUGUUCGGGUUGUCAUGCCAAUGGCACUGCCCGGUAGCUAAAUGCGGAAGAGAUAAGUGCUGAAAGCAUCUAAGCACGAAACUUGCCCCGAGAUGAGUUCUCCCUGAGACUUUAGGUCUCCUGAAGGAACGUUGAAGACGACGACGUUGAUAGGCCGGGUGUGUAAGCGCAGCGAUGCGUUGAGCUAACCGGUACUAAUGAACCGUGAGGCUUAACCUUAC
rnacentral:rRNA from 2 species